AGAGUUUGAUCAUGGCUCAGAUUGAACGCUGGCGGCAUGCCUUACACAUGCAAGUCGAACGGCAGCACGGGGGCAACCCUGGUGGCGAGUGGCGAACGGGUGAGUAAUACAUCGGAACGUGUCCUGUUGUGGGGGAUAACCCACCGAAAGGUGAGCUAAUACCGCAUGACCUGGAAACAGUAAAGCGGGGGACCGCAAGGCCUCGCGCGAUUGGAGCGGCCGAUGUCCGAUUAGCUAGUUGGUGGGGUAAAGGCCCACCAAGGCGACGAUCGGUAGCUGGUCUGAGAGGAUGAUCAGCCACACUGGGACUGAGACACGGCCCAGACUCCUACGGGAGGCAGCAGUGGGGAAUUUUGGACAAUGGGGGCAACCCUGAUCCAGCCAUGCCGCGUGAGUGAAGAAGGCCUUCGGGUUGUAAAGCUCUUUCGGUGGGAACGAAACGGUUCGUGCUAACACCACGGACUAAUGACGGUACUCACAGAAGAAGCACCGGCUAACUACGUGCCAGCAGCCGCGGUAAUACGUAGGGUGCGAGCGUUAAUCGGAAUUACUGGGCGUAAAGCGUGCGCAGGCGGUUACUUAAGUCAGGUGUGAAAUCCCUGGGCUUAACCUAGGAAUUGCGCUUUGAGACUGGGUAGCUUGGAGUGCGGCAGAGGGAGGUGGAAUUCCACGUGUAGCAGUGAAAUGCGUAGAGAUGUGGAGGAACACCGAUGGCGAAGGCAGCCUCCUGGGCCAGCACUGACGCUCAUGCACGAAAGCGUGGGGAGCAAACAGGAUUAGAUACCCUAGUAGUCC
rnacentral:rRNA from 1 species